CCUACGGGAGGCAGCAGUGGGGGAUAUUGCACAAUGGGGGGAACCCUGAUGCAGCGACGCCGCGUGGGUGAAGAAGCGCCUCGGCGCGUAAAGCCCUGUCAGCAGGGGAGAAAAUGACGGUACCUGAAGAAGAAGCCCCGGCUAACUACGUGCCAGCAGCCGCGGUAAUAAGUCGGGGGCAAGCGUUAUCCGGAUUUACUGGGUGUAAAGGGGGCGCAGACGGCGAUGCAAGCCAGGAGUGAAAGCCCGGGGUCCAACCCCGGGACUGCUCUUGGAACUGCGUGGCUGGAGUGCAGGAGGGGCAGGCGGAAUUCCUGGUGUAGCGGUGAAAUGCGUAGAUAUCAGGAGGAACACCGGUGGCGAAGGCGGCCUGCUGGACUGCAACUGACGUUGAGGCCCGAAAGCGUGGGGAGCAAACAGGAUUAGAUACCCCAGUAGUC
rnacentral:rRNA from 1 species